rnacentral:rRNA from 1 species
UACGGAGGGGGCUAGCGUUGUUCGGAAUUACUGGGCGUAAAGCGUACGUAGGCGGCUUUGUAAGUUAGAGGUGAAAGCCCGGGGCUCAACUCCGGAAUUGCCUUUAAGACUGCAUCGCUUGAAUCAUGGAGAGGUGAGGAAUUCCGAGUGUAGAGGUGAAAUUCGUAGAUAUUCGGAAGAACACCAGUGGCGAAGGCGACUCACUGGACAUGUAUUGACGCUGAGGUACGAAAGCGUGGGGAGCAAACAGG